UUCAUUACCACUAGAAGAAGAGCCGGGAGCGGAGUUUCUGGCCGGCGGGAUUUGAGUGUGACACCAUCGUGACGGUGCGGCGUGGACCGUGGAGUGUCCGCAGCGGAACAGCCGGCUGACGUCCGGUGCCAUGGCGAAGCUGCAGGGCUUCGACUUCUGGAGGACGACGCUGAAGGGAGCUCGUUUCGUGGUGGCGCCCAUGGUGGACCAGAGCGAGCUGGCGUGGCGCCUGCUCAGCCGCAGACACGGCGCUCAGCUGUGUUACACCCCCAUGUUUCACGCUCAGGUGUUUGUCCGAGACGCCAACUACAGGAGGGAGAACCUGUACAGCGAGGUCUGCGAGGAGGACCGGCCUCUGAUCACGCAGUUCUGCGCCAACGAUCCAGAGGUGUUUGUUCAGGCGGCUCUGCUGGCCCAGGAUUACUGCGACGCCGUGGACCUGAACCUGGGCUGUCCGCAGAUGAUCGCCAAGAGAGGACACUACGGGGUUUUCCUGCAGGAUGAGUGGGACCUGCUGGAGAGGAUGAUCAGGUUAGCCCAUGAGAAGCUGUCGGUGCCGGUCACGUGUAAGAUCCGUGUCUUCGAGGACGUGGAGAGGACGGUGCGAUACGCCCAGAUGCUGGAGAAGGCUGGAUGUCAGCUGCUGACCGUACACGGCCGAACCAAAGACCAGAAAGGCCCCAUGACAGGCGUUGCGAGCUGGGAACACAUCAAGGCCGUGCGGAAGGCGGUAAACAUUCCUGUGUUCGCCAACGGCAACAUCCAGCACCUGGGGGACGUGGAGCGCUGCAUCCAGGAGACGGGGGUGCAGGGAGUCAUGAGCGCAGAGGGGAACCUGCACAACCCAGCCCUGUUCGAGGGCCGCAGCCCCCCCGUGUGGGAGAUGGCCGACGAGUACCUGGAGGUGGUGCAGCGGCACCCCCCCUGCUCCCUGUCCUACGUGAGAGCGCACCUCUUCAAGCUGUGGCACCACACGCUGCAGAUCCAUCAGGACCUGAGGGAGGAGCUGGCCAAAGUGAAGACCCUGCAAGCGCUGGCUGAGGUCAGCAGCCAGCUGAGGCGGCGCUGCCAGGAGGAGAGGGCGAAAGGAAAGGGGGCGGAGCUAAGCGAGAGCACACUGCCCCUCCCUCACUGGAUCUGCCAACCGUAUGUUAGACCUGAGCCGAAGCCGCCGCUCACCAACGGUUCCUCAGAGGGGAAGACGGCGGCCUGUAAGAAGAGGACGCUGGAGGACUUGGACGGGACGGGCCAAACUCUCUCCAAAAACAAGCAGAAGAAAAGAUCCCGGAACCCCAAGAAGAACUUUAGUGUGGAUCAGAAACCCAAAUACCUCAAAUGUGAGCAGUGUGGAAACCCCAAGGUGAGGAGUUCCAGCUCCUCCAGAGCCUCUUCAUCGCAUGAUGGAGCUCCUUGUUGUUCUGUCUUCUUUGUGUUUAUUUGUCGGAAGAAAAUCUUUACAGCUUCUAAAGAGCGUCUGGAACCAAACGUCAUGUUUCCGUGUUCGGUUUACCAACUGCUGCUGACAAACGGUUUUCAGAGCUUCAUGUUCUCCCUCUGACCUGCUUCUCCUGGCCUUCCAAACACUUCUGAGCUCAUAGGCUGCAGGACACGUCUCGACCCUGGACACGUCUCGGCCCUGUACACGUCUCGGCCCUGGACACGCCUCGGCCCUGGACACGCCUCGGCCCUGUACACGUCUCGGCCCUGGACACGUCUCGACCCUGGACACGCCUCGGCCCUAAAUACGCCACAACCCUGAACACGCCACAGGCCUGGACACGCCUCGGCCCUGGACACGCCAGAGUCCUUUAUUUCCUUUCUAAAAUCGCAUCAGGAGCUGUGUUCACACUGAGGACCAGAACCGGUUCUGUGUUUUCAUGUGAAACUUUGUCCUCUGCUGAUUCUGCUUUUGCUCUGCAGGGAAAUAAAUGCGUCUUCAAUCUGUGUCGAGGAUGCUGCAAGAAGAAGGCUUUCAAAGAAGUGGCCGACUGUCCAAGCCAUGGACUCCGGUUCAAAACCAAGGCAGAGAAGCGGCGAGCGGAAGAAAGUGGACGGAACGAUGGCGA